rnacentral:rRNA from 1 species
UACGUAGGUGACCAGCGUUGUCCGGAUUUAUUGGGCGUAAAGCGUGCGUAGGCGGCGGGGUAAGUGAGGUGUGAAAUCCCGGAGCUUAACUCCGGAACUGCACUUUAUACUGCCUUGCUAGAGGGCUGGAAAGGAGACUGGAAUUUACGGUGUAGCAGUGAAAUGCGUAGAGAUCGUAAGGAAGACCAGUGGCGAAGGCGAGUCUCUGGAAAGCUGCUGACGCUGAGGCACGAAGGCCAGGGGAGCAAACGGG